rnacentral:rRNA from 1 species
CCUACGGGAGGCAGCAGUGAGGAAUAUUGGUCAAUGGGCGCGAGCCUGAACCAGCCAAGUCGCGUGAGGGAAGACGGUCCUAUGGAUUGUAAACCUCUUUUGUCGGGGAGCAAAAGACGCCACGCGUGGCGUUCCGAGAGUACCCGAAGAAAAAGCAUCGGCUAACUCCGGGCCAGCAGCCGCGGUAAUACGGAGGAUGCGAGCGUUAUCCGGAUUUAUUGGGUUUAAAGGGUGCGCAGGCGGAAGAUCAAGUCAGCGGUAAAAUUGAGGGGCCCAACCGCUUCGAGCCGUUGAAACUGGUUGUCUUGAGUGAGCGAGAAGUAUGCGGAAUGCGUGGUGUAGCGGUGAAAUGCAUAGAUAUCACGCAGAACUCCGAUUGCGAAGGCAGCAUACCGGCGCUCAACUGACGCUCAUGCACGAAAGUGUGGGUAUCGAACAGGAUUAGAUACCCUAGUAGUC